rnacentral:rRNA from 1 species
UACGUAGGUGACAAGCGUUGUCCGGAUUUACUGGGCGUAAAGAGCGCGCAGGCGGUCGAUCAAGUCGAGUGUGAAAGCCCCCGGCUCAACUGGGGAGGGUCAUUCGAUACUGAUCGACUCGAAGGCAGGAGAGGGUAGUGGAAUUCCCGGUGUAGUGGUGAAAUGCGUAGAUAUCGGGAGGAACACCCGUGGCGAAAGCGGCUCUCUGGGACGGUACUGACGCUGAGACGCGAAAGCGUGGGGAGCAAACAGG